UCACUCGGGACGUGCUUCAAGCUCCCUUCUUCCAGGGGACCAGAGACCAGAGUGGGAGUGUACUGGACCUGUGUAACAGAGGAAUACCCUACCCUAGGAGGUUCACAUCUUUAUCUUUUGAGCCUGUGAAUAUUCUCACUGACAUGACAAAGAGCCCCUUUGGAUGGAUUAAGUUAAGUGCUUUGACAUGGAGAAGAACAUCUUGCAGGGACUAUUUCCUAGCUGUGAUCAGAUGGCAAUGAGACAAAGGAGAAAUGGGCAGAGGGAGGGAAUGGUGCUGGCUGUGAGGAUGGGGAAAGUUCCAGAGCCAGGAUCAGGGAUAGUCAGCUGUCAAAGGGUAGAGAAGGCUAAAUCAGAGAGUCUCCUGGAGCCUCCUAAAAGGAAUGUUGUCAUAGAAAUGCAAGACCUGUGUGACCUCUGACCCAAGAGAUAAUACAUUUGAAUUGUUUUUAGCCACCAGGUUUGUGGACAUUCACUGCAGAGGCAAUACAAGCUCAGCACAUUGCUCUAAGCUUCCUGAGAUGACCUCUGUCCACCAAGAGGGUGUUAAUCCCACAGGAGCAGAAGUUUCAAGACAUCAAAGGACUGAGACUAGCCAGAGACCUCCCUCCAUCUAAGACAGCUAAGCCAUGAGCUUUGCUGUCCUGGCUAAGGCUUCUGAGGGUACCCUGGGUGGCUCCUGCUGAACCUGAAUGAGUCUAGUCACUCAUCAGAAGCUCCUGGAGUUCCUGGCAGCCUCUGAAUGUCUACAAAAGGAUUAAUCAGCUGCAGAGAGCAGAUGCAGAUGCCAAAAGGACUCUUCACUAGCAUAGGACCAAAGACGUUCAAGGUUCGGCAUGGCCAAUGUACAUCUCAGUGGCUGGGUAUUGACUGUGUCAAUUUGCAGUGGACUAAGUGUCUUGGCAAGAGAAAUUGUCCUCCAGCUGGAACCUGAGGACUGGAGCAGAGGUCCUUUGUCAGGCGAUGUUCCUGAAUGAGACUCAUGGCAAGUGACCAGGUGAUGGGUCAACACAACUGACACAUCUCAUUCUUGAGGUGCUUCCUCUUUUAUGGUCCCAGUGGAGGAGAUUCCAUCAGAUGUGAUUCAUAAGCUCCUGCUUUUUAUCCUCCUACUUCUCCUAUGUGAUUUGGUUUAUUCCCAAGCAUCAAUAUUUACUGACAUGAGUAAAUCAUUUGUGUUUCUUAGUGUGCUGG
rnacentral:lncRNA from 1 species